rnacentral:rRNA from 1 species
GGGCAGUGCGCGUGCUUAACAUGGCAGUCGAACGCUGAAGCCAGAAGCUUGCUUCUGGUGGAUGAGUGGCGAACGGGUGAGUAACACGUGAGUAACCUGCCCCCGAUUUCGGGAUAAGCCCGGGAAACUGGGUCUAAUACCGGAUACGACCUGCCCUCGCAUGAGGGUUGGUGGAAAGUUUUUCGAUCGGGGAUGGGCUCGCGGCCUAUCAGCUUGUUGGUGGGGUAAUGGCCUACCAAGGCGACGACGGGUAGCCGGCCUGAGAGGGCGACCGGCCACACUGGGACUGAGACACGGCCCAGACUCCUACGGGAGGCAGCAGUGGGGAAUAUUGCACAAUGGGGGAAACCCUGAUGCAGCGACGCAGCGUGCGGGAUGACGGCCUUCGGGUUGUAAACCGCUUUCAGCAGGGAAGAAGCCGUAAGGUGACGGUACCUGCAGAAGAAGUACCGGCUAACUACGUGCCAGCAGCCGCGGUAAUACGUAGGGUACGAGCGUUGUCCGGAAUUAUUGGGCGUAAAGAGCUCGUAGGUGGUUGGUCACGUCUGCUGUGGAAACGCAACGCUUAACGUUGCGCGUGCAGUGGGUACGGGCUGACUAGAGUGCAGUAGGGGAGUCUGGAAUUCCUGGUGUAGCGGUGAAAUGCGCAGAUAUCAGGAGGAACACCGGUGGCGAAGGCGGGACUCUGGGCUGUAACUGACACUGAGGAGCGAAAGCGUGGGGAGCCAAACAGAUAGAGAAAAGGGU